rnacentral:rRNA from 1 species
UACGUAGGGACCGAGCGUUGUCCGGAAUCAUUGGGCGUAAAGAGCGUGUAGGCGGCCACUUAAGUCCUGCGUGAAAUCUUGCGGCUCAACCGCAAGCGGUCGUGGGAAACUGGGUGGCUAGAGUGCGGGAGAGGAGAGUGGAAUUCCUGGUGUAGUGGUGAAAUGCGUAGAGAUCGGGAAGAACACCAGUGGCGAAGGCGGCCGGCUGGGGGCGCCCUGACGCUGAGGCGCGAGAGCGUGGGGAGCAAACCGG